GUGCAUACUUUUGAAGCAGACCUUCUGAAUAAGGUGAACUGAGUGCUGCAAGAAUGACUGGUUCUCAGAAGGAGUGGUUAUCUGGUUAUUCUCAGCAUACCUCUUCUAUUACUUAACAGCGGCUUUUCUGACCCAUGUUAUCAUCUGAACAUCUCAAAAUUUGUGGAUUAUAGGCUAGAAUAGCAACAUGUACAAACAAAACUUCAGCCAAGUUUAACAUCACUAAUCUACUGCUCUUUCUUGACUUUCAGUAUCACUGAUUUCUUGCAUCUCUGUACUUUUCCGUAAGUCAACGGCUCCCCAAUUUUAGCACAUUAGCUGCAGUAGAAUUGGAUGCAGAAGCUUGCCGCUCAGUCAAUCAGGUGCCUCUCCCUGAACUGCAUAUAACAAACACAUGAGAUCUGCCCAGGUCAGUGUGCAGUAAGUUUCCACAGACACAGUGAAAAGCCUUGUGUCUUGAUACAGGCCACAAUUGCACUACUGUGAUUUAAUCUUUACGACCCUUUUAUAAAGGCACUUCGGAAGGACAGGCGGGAUAAGAAUUCUCCAUACAAUUAUGGGAUAUGAUGGUGAACUAUUAAUUCCUAAAUCAAUGUGUACAUGAGUGGGGAAGAAAUCGCUCUUCCCAAUCCAUUAAGCUAGCACAUAAGGGGAUGAAAGAUAGAGGGUGAAAUCUUGACCCCAUUGAAAUCAAUAGAAAAGUCCCCAUCGACUUCAAUGGAGCCAAAAUUUUACCCAGAGACGGAGUUAAAAAUAUUUUUUUUUCAAGUGAUAAGUGCUCAGCCACAUUAGAGAGAGUGGAAAAAUGUUAGGAUGAAAAUGGUAGAUCAAUGAAGGGAGCUUUGGUGGCGGUGUCCGCAAACCAGCGAUGAAGCUUAAUAUCUACAACCGCAUUUUUCUGCUUAUAAAUACUGAAUACAGCAUCUUCAAGAAACAAAAGAAGAUUUGGAAAGAGAAAAAAAGAAGUUUCCUGGCAAGUUUAGUCUGGGAAAUUUUAAACAUCUAUCGAUAGUAGAUGAGGAGACCACAUCUGUACGCAGUAUUCAAGAUGUGGGAGUACCAUCGAUUUAUAUAAGGGCAAUAAAAUAUUCUCAAUCCCCUUUUUAAUGAUCCCUAACAUCCUGUUUGCUUUUUUGACCGCCUCUGCACACUGCGUGGACAUCUUCAGAGAACUAUCCACGAUGACUCCAAGGAGGAAACAACUGGCACUGCUACUCUCUUGGCCAUGACAACAGGAUUCAAUGGGAAGCCUAAUCCUGUCCCCCUGGCUCAGAGGUCACGGUGGGGGUGCUCAUAGCAGGAUGAGAGUGCUCCUGUUGGAGAGCCGGUGAUGGGUCAUGUUAAAUAGAUAAGCUGUUCCAUGGGUAUGUGGGGAGGAAAAGAUGCUCUGUAAUGAAAGGCCUGUUUCAAUCUCAGGGACUCCUACAACCUUGGUCUGACAUCUUUAAUGACUAUUAUAGGCAUUGGCAGCAUCAGCAAGCAUAAGCCUUUAUCCGUGGCUGGUGACGAGGAAGAGAGCUGGAACUUGGGGAAGGCAAAACCAAUAACCUACUUUACCGGAGAUAUUGAGGCAGGGUAACUAAUGAUGUAGUUAAGAGUAGCUCUUCCUUCCCCCACCCCAACACUGUAUAUCUGGUUGCAAAGUCUAAAUAAUUAUAUAUAUAAAUCCUCACAGACCAAAAAAUACUCUUCAAUGUUUAUUAGAAAAAGAAAAAUGAAUAAACUAAUGUUUAUUACCUGUCAUCUGGAAAGGGAGAGGAAUAGUGAAGUAAUAGAAUUGGCAGAUGAUGCAAAGAUAUUUAGGUAACAGAGGGCUAGAAAGGGCUGUAAGAGGGACCUAAGCAAGCUGGGAAAUGGCAAAUGAAAUCCAGUGCUGGUACAUGCAAAGUAGUGCACAUUGAAAAGAAAAUAUUCACACCCCACACAUGGUUCUAAAUUAACUAACAGUUCAGGAAAGGGGCCUGGGUGUCUGCAAUGACAGAUCAAUGAAAACUUCUGCUCAAUGCUCAACAGCAGUCAGAACAAGUUACAAAAUGUUCGCAUGCCUAGGGAACGAAUGGAAUAGAGAAUAACAUGGAUAUUAUUACAA